UCGCAUUUCCCGGAUUAGAGAGAAGAGGCGAGAAAAGAAACGGGCGAGGAGGAAGAGGCAAGGCCCGAAAAAGAAGCACCUCAGCGAAGCUCAGAGGGAGAAAAGGCGGGCCCACGCAAAGCUCCAAUGGAAGCGUAAGAGGCGGGCGGCGGCGGCGGCGGCUGCGGCGGCGGCUGCGGCGGCAGCCGCAACAGCAACAGCAGCACCGCUACCACCACAAGAAGAAGCGACAAUUCAGAGGCGAGCACUGAGGCCACUACCGGCAAGGCGGGCCAAGGAGGUGGCUGCCAAGAGGGGGUUGUUGCCUCCCCCCCCAAGGCGUCAGCAAGCCAGGAAGAAGGCUUUGCCAACUCAGCCAGCCAAAUAAAUCAGCCAGCAAUGUGAAUUAAAUGUAA